rnacentral:rRNA from 1 species
GACGAACGCUGGCGGCGUGCUUAACACAUGCAAGUCGAACGGAGUGGCGAACGGGUGAGUAACAGGUGGGUGACCUGCCCUGCACUUCGGGAUAAGCAUGGGAAACUGGGUCUAAUACCGGAUAGUGUGGGAUGGGGCGGUGGCCUAUCAGCUUGUUGGUGGGGUAAUGGACUACCAAGGCGGCGACGGGUAGCCGGCCUGAGAGGGUGGACGGCCACAUGGGGAAUGAGACACGGGCCUGACUCCUGCGGGAGGCAGCAGUGGGGGAUAUUGCACGAUGGGCGGAAGCCUGAUGCAGGGACGCCGCGUGGGGGGUGGCGGCCUUCGGGUUGUAAACUCCUUUCUCCAUCGGCGCGGUAGAUGGAGAAGAAGCACCGGCUAACUACGUGCCAGCAGCCGCGGUAAUUC